CCGAGCGGCGGACGGGUGAGUAACGCGUGGGUAACCUGCCUCAUACAGGGGGAUAACAGUUAGAAAUGACUGCUAAUACCGCAUAAGACCACGGUACCGCAUGGUACAGUGGUAAAAACUCCGGUGGUAUGAGAUGGACCCGCGUCUGAUUAGGUAGUUGGUGGGGUAACGGCCUACCAAGCCGACGAUCAGUAGCCGACCUGAGAGGGUGACCGGCCACAUUGGGACUGAGACACGGCCCAG
rnacentral:rRNA from 1 species